AUGAUUUAUAGAGGAGGAGAAGAAGAAGAAGAAGAAGAAGAGAGAAGAAAGAGAAUUGAGAACAUCAAGAGUCUCUUGGAUCUUAUAAGCCAGGCUAUUACGGAGACAAUGACUGGUAAGACUAUUGAGGAGAUUCGCAAAAUGUUCAACAUUGUGAAUGACUUCGCAAAAGAGGAAGAGGAAGACUUUCGUCGCGAAAAUAAAUGGGCUUGA